GUAUCUCUCAGCUUACGUGAUCACUAGUUCUCCUGACACGACAAGACGCACUAGCACAAGACAAGGGGAAGACGCUGACUAAAUACACACAGAAGGGUAAGGGCACAGGUGCACACAAUUAGAAUCAAGGGCACAGGGGCACACAAUUAGGAUCAGGGAAGACAAUCAGACUGACGCACAGAGGAAGGGCCCACAAACUGAAACGAGAGGAGAGUUACUUAUCAAAAUAAAACAGGAAGUGACAAUACAACAAAAAAGACAAGACAAUAACAACCCA